rnacentral:rRNA from 1 species
UACAGAGGGGGCAAGCGUUGUUCGGAAUUACUGGGCGUAAAGGGCUUGUAGGUGGCCAACUAAGUCAGACGUGAAAUCCCCCGGCUUAACCGGGGAACUGCGUCUGAUACUGGAUGGCUAGAGAUUGGGAGAGGGACGCGGAAUUCCAGGUGUAGCGGUGAAAUGCGUAGAUAUCUGGAGGAACACCGGUGGCGAAGGCGGCGUCCUGGACCAACACUGACACUGAAAAGCGAAAGCCAGGGGAGCAAACGGG